rnacentral:rRNA from 1 species
AUAUUGGACAAUGGGGGCAACCCUGAUCCAGCCAUGCCGCGUGUGUGAAGAAGGUCUUNGGCUUGNANAGCACUUUAAGUUGGGGNGAAGGGCUUUAGGCUAAUACCCUGAAGUCUUGACGUUACCAACAGAAUAAGCACCGGCUAACUCUGUGCCAGCAGCCGCGGUAAUACAGAGGGUGCAAGCGUUAAUCGGAAUUACUGGGCGUAAAGCGAGCGGAGGUGGUUCAGUAAGAAGAGUGUGAAGUACACGGGCUUAACCAGGGAACUGAUUUCAUAACUGCUGGGAUAGAGUACGGUAGAGGGUAGUGGAAUUUCCUGUGUAGCGGUGAAAUGCGUGGAUAUAGGAAGGAAAACCAGUGGCGAAGGCGACUACCUGGACUGAUACUGACACUGAGGUGCGAAAGCGUGGGGAGCAAACAG